UACGUAGGGCGCAAGCGUUAUCCGGAAUUAUUGGGCGUAAAGAGCUCGUAGGCGGUUUGUCGCGUCUGCCGUGAAAAUCCGGGGCUCAACCCCGGACUUGCAGUGGGUACGGGCAGACUAGAGUGUGGUAGGGGAGACUGGAAUUCCUGGUGUAGCGGUGAAAUGCGCAGAUAUCAGGAGGAACACCGAUGGCGAAGGCAGGUCUCUGGGCCAUUACUGACACUGAGAAGCGAAAGCAUGGGGAGCGAACAGG
rnacentral:rRNA from 1 species